rnacentral:lncRNA from 1 species
UUUUGAUGUGUAGAAAUAUUUAUAAUGAUCAACUCUGUACAUUUAAGUUACCAACUUCAUUUCUUUUAGGAUGUUUCAUUAAUUUCCAUAUGCACUUCAGGAAAAAUCUGCCUAAGGAGGAGUAUAGAAGGGUAUCCACAAAUAUGUCCACUGACUUGUGUUUGAGCUGACUCCUGGAAAAAAGAGUGGCUAUUUGUACAGCUUCUGAGUUAGGGAGAUUAAGGAGAAUGGGAAAGCUGAAGGACGGCUAAAAGACAAAGCUUGCAGGGGAUGCUCUGACAUACAGCCAAGAUGGACAAAGGAGAAGGACAAGAAAAAAAACUGGGAGGAAGACUAUGAGCCUUCAGCAUGAAAGAUCCCCAGAGACCCCCAGAGGGACCACCAGAGACUCAUACGCAUGCUCCAGUAGGAGGGUUUGGAUUCCGGAAACUAAUUAUAAUAACCCUGUUUUUUCUAGAAGUAGCAAUGAGUAUGUAUUAGUAUAGGAACAUAGAAAUCAGCAUCUUGAUAUAACGUGUGUGUGUCUUGGUGGAGCAGAGACUUCCAGUGCACCCAGCGCUGUUUGCUUACCUCUAUUCAUUUAAUAAAUUGUAAACUUUGAUUAUAAUCCUGUUUUGG